GCAAGCGUUGUUCGGAAUUACUGGGCGUAAAGGGCGCGUAGGCGGCCUUCUAAGUCGAACGUGAAAUCCCCGGGCUCAACCCGGGAACUGCGUCCGAUACUGGAAGGCUUGAAUCCGGGAGAGGGAUGUGGAAUUCCAGGUGUAGCGGUGAAAUGCGUAGAUAUCUGGAGGAACACCGGUGGCGAAGGCGACAUCCUGGACCGGUAUUGACGCUGAGGCGCGAAAGCCAGGGGAGCAAACGGG
rnacentral:rRNA from 1 species